UACGGAGGAUGCAAGCGUUAUCCGGAUUUAUUGGGUUUAAAGGGUGCGCAGGUUGUUUGAUAAGUCAGUGGUGAAAGUCUGUCGCUUAACGGUAGGAUUGCCAUUGAUACUGUUAGACUUGAAUAUGGAUGAGGUAGGCGGAAUGUGCAGUGUAGCGGUGAAAUGCUUAGAUAUUGCACAGAACACCGAUUGCGAAGGCAGCUUACCAAGCUAUUAUUGACGCUGAGGCACGAAAGCGUGGGGAUCGAACA
rnacentral:rRNA from 1 species